UGACCUAGAAUCAUUGUGACAACCUUAGAUUUAAUGAAAAACCGCAAGUUCUACAGGUGUUAAAUCCUUUGUUUAGUUAUCAGUGAUAAAACAGCAACAAAAUGCUGCAUAAUAUAGCAUGCAUGUAAACGACUUUU